UCCUGGCUCAGAUUGAACGCUGGCGGCGUGCCUUACACAUGCAAGUCGAACGGCAGCGGACCUUCGGGUGCCGGCGAGUGGCGAACGGGUGAGUAAUAUAUCGGAACGUACCUUCAGUGGGGAUAACGUAGCGAAAGUUACGCUAAUACCGCAUAUUCUGUGAGCAGGAAAGCAGGGGAUCGCAAGACCUUGCGCUGAUUGAGCGGCCGAUAUCAGAUUAGCUAGUUGGUGAGGUAAAGGCUCACCAAGGCGACGAUCUGUAGCGGGUCUGAGAGGAUGAUCCGCCACACUGGAACUGAGACACGGUCCAGACUCCUACGGGAGGCAGCAGUGGGGAAUUUUGGACAAUGGGCGCAAGCCUGAUCCAGCCAUGCCGCGUGAGUGAAGAAGGCCUUCGGGUUGUAAAGCUCUUUCGGCCGGGAAGAAAUCGCACAGGUUAAUACCCUGUGUGGAUGACGGUACCGGAAUAAGAAGCACCGGCUAACUACGUG
rnacentral:rRNA from 1 species